rnacentral:sRNA from 1 species
CUGCUGAGGACAGAUAAAAUGAACAUGUGAAUCAAUACCGCCAGCUGUAACGAUAAGACCUUCGCCUGCGAUAAUUUCAGUGCCUGGACCUAUGAUGAUAUCAACAUUGUCCUGAAUGUCUGGAUUGCCUGCUUUACCAAUACCACUGAUUCUGCCAUUUUUGAUUCCGAUAUCAGCUUUGAUAAUUCCAGUGUAAUCAAUGAUAAGAGCAUUGGUGAUAACAGUGUCAGCUGUAUAUCUGUCGGCAAGCUGAGAUUGUCCUUGUCCGUCUC